ensembl:lncRNA
GAACGCCCCAGGGCUGGCCAUGGCCAGCUUCUUUCCCAGGACAGGAGCCCUCGGCAUCUCCCAGUCCACGCUCAGCAGCUCUGCCCCAUGCUGCCACCGACCAGGAGCACCCUCCUCAGGGAGGCCUUCCCGUGGUGGCCAGAGUCAUGCUCCCAGGGACUGAGCUGCAGCUGUUUUCCUGUGACCGUCAUGUGCCCCUUCCCCCUCUGUGGUCCCCCACUUUCCCCCGCACCUGUGCAGAGCUCUCAGAGUCACAGAUAGCGCCCUGGCUGACCUUGCCUGAACCCCCUCCUCCCUCUCCCGGCCUCUGAACUGCCCACGUGGGCCAGGGCAGGAGAGCCCCCAGCUCUCUGCGUCUCUGUCCCUGCUGCCUGAGAGUUCUCUGAGUCAUGAGGAGCCACCAGACUGCAGCCCUUGGUCCAGGAAGAGGAGAUGGUUGGACCCCCCGAGCACAUCAGCACCAGAAACCAUCCAGGUACCGUCACAUAGAUUCACUUCAUCCUUUCAAUGACACUGUCUGGUGAGUGUUAUUGGGUUUCCCCAGUGGCUCAGCUGGUAAAGAACCCGCCGGCCAAUGCAGGAGAUGCAAGACAUGUGGGUUCGAUUCCUAGGUCAGGAAGAUCCCCUGGAGAAGUAAAUGGCAACCCACUCCAGUAUUCUUGCCUGGAAAAUUGCAUGGGCAGAGGUGCCUGGCAGGCUAUAGUCUAGGGGGUUGCAGAGAGUCAGACACGACUGAGCAUGCAGACACAGGAUACAGGUGAGUGUUAUUAGCCCAUUUACAGAUGACAGAACUAAGAUAUGGAGAGCUGACAUCACUGAGAGAAGGCCACCACCUUAGUAAAUGCCAGCACUAGGAUUCAGACCAAGGUGGGCCAUCCCUGGGUUCAAGUUCUCUCCACAGGCCAAGCUGCAGUCCACAUAAGCUGCAGUUUCAGGGCCCUGUGAAGAAAGACCUGUCAGGGGCUGCAUGCCUGCGGAGCAACAGGAGGCCCCAGGGACCUCUCCCCCACCCCCCACCUUCACCCCAGCUGGUCCAUCAGGCCAGACAGUGGGGCUGAGGAUGUCAGGCAGUGCUGGCAGCCAAACAAGGGGUCACAGUCAGUCAGACACUUCCUCACUGCACAAAGCACCACUUCCCUCCAGACAGAGGACCCCAAAGAAUGCUUGGAAUGUCGUUGGGGCCAGACAGCCUCCUGCAGAUGCCGAGAGGCUGGCUUUGUGCUCAGUUUGCCAGGGCGACUGACCCCAAGUUAGAAAGGUCACUCCCUGACCUGUGAC